GUUUAGGGUUUUAGAGUGAGUGAGAGUGAUAAGUGUGUGAAAUGUGAGAAAAGUGUUUAUAUACUCUAAGUGAAACACAUGCAAAACGACACAUAAAAUUGCGUUAGCACAACGCUCAAGUAAGCAAGUGAGUGAGAGUGAUAAGUGUGUGAAAUGUGAGAAAAGUGUUUAUAUACUCUAAGUGAAACACAUGCAAAACGACACAUAAAAUUGCGUUAGCACAACGCUCAAGUAAGCACGCUUGGGGGGAAAAA
rnacentral:lncRNA from 1 species